AGCGAACGCUGGCGGCAGGCCUAACACAUGCAAGUCGAACGGACCUUUCGGGGUUAGUGGCGGACGGGUGAGUAACACGUGGGAACGUGCCCUUUGGUUCGGAAUAGCUCCUGGAAACGGGUGGUAAUGCCGAAUGUGCCCUUCGGGGGAAAGAUUUAUCGCCAUUGGAGCGGCCCGCGUCUGAUUAGCUAGUUGGUGAGGUAAAGGCGCACCAAGGCGACGAUCAGUAGCUGGUCUGAGAGGAUGAUCAGCCACAUUGGGACUGAGACACGGCCCAAACUCCUACGGGAGGCAGCAGUGGGGAAUCUUGCGCAAUGGGCGAAAGCCUGACGCAGCCAUGCCGCGUGAAUGAUGAAGGUCUUAGGAUUGUAAAAUUCUUUCACCGGGGACGAUAAUGACGGUACCCGGAGAAGAAGCCCCGGCUAACUUCGUGCCAGCCGCCGCGGUAAUAC
rnacentral:rRNA from 1 species